UGAGCUACUGAACGUCUAUAGAACUGCAAUGAUACCAGAAUUUCAGUGACAUGAGAUUCUCUUCAAUUUAAGAAUCAAAAGGAAAUUAAUAAGUGAAGCACAUCAGCAGAGUCUGACAAAGAUAUUAAUUCUAAUUAAGGAAUCACCCAAAUGAGAAUUCUGAAAAGCUCACAAUACUCUGUAACAAGCCUUGUUGAAAUUGCAUUAUGACAAGACACAACUAGUGACCUAAUCAUUGUAACACAGGGAAUUAAUCACUUGGCCUUCAUACGUAGGAGUUCACAUGUGAAAAAUCGAGUUUAUGGCCUCAUUCACACUGGUACAUGAAUGAUAUGAUUUACGAGGGUAACUUUGACAGUUCCUUAGGCAGAAUAAAAAGAAAGCCUACUAGAUAUUUCCUAAUGUUGGACAAAUUUUUAAAUUUGUUUAUAUUUAGUCAUGUACAGAUCAAAUCAUAACUAAACUAUCAUAUUUUAACCUUGAUGCUGAAAUCACAUAUUGACUUCGAUGCUGAAAAUGUAAACCAUUAUGCUCUUACUAAAUCGCAAUUACCUAUGGUUUUCAUUAAUACUUGUUCUUCAUCUGUCAAGAUCUAAACCAUAUAUCCAAGAGCAGCCUACAAAGUAGAAAGCAUCUUUUGCAAUCCAUCAAGUUAGUGGCUAAUGAAGCCUAACUCUUAAAAGCUAGCCCGCUAAUAUAGAGUCCUCAAAGCUAACCACAUGAACAUGUUCCAUCCUAAUAUGUCCUGAUAUGAUGAUAAUAUGACCUUCUCUUCAUAUUUAUUAAAGCUACCUUUAUGCAAAAAAAAAAUAUUAAUAAAUAAAAAAAAUAGAGCUACAUCACAUGUAAUUUCAAAAGAAGAACCAUCAGAUACCAUCAGAGAUAAUUCAGGUAUUUUUUUAUAAAAAAGGGUCAAAUGAUAUUUACAAACUAGUAACAGAUUGCAGACAAGGAGUUUGCACUAAUCAAAAGCAUAUUAAUUAACCAUGUCAGAAACAAAAUUUUUCUUCGUUUAUGAAUCCAAAAAUAAAUAAAUCCAAACUCAAUUAAAAAAAAAUCUUUCUCCACACGAAAUACAGGAAGAAAUGAAUAAAAUUUCGAAAGAAUUAUAUAUUAAAAAAUCAUAAUUUC
rnacentral:misc_RNA from 1 species